GUUUUUUUUUCACUCCUUGAUGGAAGUCCACUCGUUGACUUUGUCAGUGCUACAGAAUUCCAAGUGAGGUCCUGAAAGUGUUAAUAGCGGUUUCUCCUGAGAAAAUCAACAGCUGCUGAGGUGAGUUGGGCAGCUGCUUAGAUGAGUUGGAUGUGAUCCUGUCCCGUUCCUUAAUGGCAGCUCACUUGUAUUCAUUGAGGGUUUCAUAGGUCUGUCCACUCAGCUGGUCCUCCAGGGGCUUUUAUCAACUGGCAUGCGAAGAUGUUGCAGAUCUGUGGGCUCUCCAGAUGCUCGUCAUAUGG